CCUGCCGCAGCGCAGCCUGCGCCUCCCACUUCUCCAGCCCAGCGCCCCACAGGCACUCAGGCCCUCCAGCCCGCGCCUCCCACUUCUCCAGCCCAGCGCCCCACAGGCACUCAGGCCCUCCAGCCCGCGCCUCCCACUUCUCCAGCCCAGCGCCCCACAGGCACUCAGGCCCUCCAGCCUGCUCCCCAGCAAGCACGACAAGAAAGAGCAGCUGGGCCAGGACAGCCGCAGGGCUGAGCCCAGCCCCUCAGCACCCAGCACCUCUGGCCCUCUGCAAGACAGGUCGGGCUCAUCCCACAGCCAGCCUCGCCGAGUACACUGGCCCCACCAGCCCGUCCAGCCCCACUGGAUGGCUGAGGUAACCCAGCAGCGGGGCAGGACUGGGGGUCACCGGCUGAAUCCCAGCGCCCCGGCACCCGGGCUGGCGAGGAAGUAGCUCCCGGCAGCAGCAAUAAAAGAACCAGCUGAUCAGGAGAGCGGUGUGGCUUCUGACAAACAAAGGAUUCUUGGUGUAGCAGAAGAAUAAAAACCCAUGGGUUGUUUCUCACUCUUGAGAGCCCUUUAAAAAUUACACUUUUGGACAUAGUGAAAUAUUUUGUGAAGACGACAAGGAUCCAAGCAAAAAUGCGGAUGCAAGCACAUGUGCAGGAGAAGAGCACCGUCAGAAGAUUCCCCUUAUUUAUUCAUUUCUGCCAUGUGUUUGCACCUACACAGCUAAAAUAUUUCU